UUGGUAAGGUAACGGCUUACCAAGGCGACGAUGACUAGGGGAUCUGAGAGGAUGACCCCCCACACUGGUACUGAGACACGGACCAGACUCCUACGGGAGGCAGCAGUGAGGAAUAUUGGUCAAUGGGCGAGAGCCUGAACCAGCCAAGUCGCGUGCAGGAUGACUGCCUUAUGGGUUGUAAACUGCUUUUAUAAAGGAAUAGCAACAGAAACGUGUUUCUGGAUGAAUGUACUUUAGGAAUAAGGAUCGGCUAACUCCGUGCCAGCAGCCGCGGUAAUACGGAGGAUCCAAGCGUUAUCCGGAUUUAUUGGGUUUAAAGGGUGCGUAGGCGGUAGCUUAAGUCAGUGGUGAAAGUUUGCAGCUCAACUGUAAAAUUGCCAUUGAAACUGGGUUACUUGAGUAUGGUAGAGGUAUGCGGAAUGCGUUGUGUAGCGGUGAAAUGCUUAGAUAUAACGCAGAACCCCAAUUGCGAAGGCAGCAUGCUGGACCAUUACUGACGCUGAGGCACGAAAGCGUGGGGAUCAAACAGGAUUAGAUACCCUGGUAGUCCACGCCGUAAACUAUGAAUGCUAGCUAUUGGCGAUAUACAGUCAGUGGCACAGAGAAAUCGUUAAGCAUUCCACCUGGGGA
rnacentral:rRNA from 1 species